CUUCAAGAUUGUUAUAUUUUCAAAAUAUUUUGAAAUUUGUUUUUUUUUUCAAAAUAAUAAUAAUUUAAACACAUUAAUAUUAUAUUAUUUAUAUUAAUAUGCAUUCUUAACGGUGCUUUUGGUAUAAUUUAAACUGGGCUUUAAAAUGUACAUCAUUAACACAGCAGCCAUACCGCUGUACAACUUACAAUUAUAACUUUAUUAAUAAUUUUAGAGGGGUUAUAAGUGAUUUAGAGGGGAUAAAGCCCCGUAUCUCCCCAAUGUCCACCUACUGAGUGAUAGACUCGUAUACAUACUUCAUUACAGAUUUCUUUCCGUCAUUAAAAAUUCUCCAGAUGGUUCCACAACUUCAUUCCUACGAAUUCUAAAAUACUGAAGAUCAUUGGUUUUUAACUCCCCACAAUGUUCUCUGGAAUACGGUCCCGGCGAUUUAAAUAUAGUUGAUUAUAUUUUUCAUCCGUACGCAUGUGCAAU